rfam:Aedes albopictus isolate Foshan contig52276, whole genome shotgun sequence.
UAGCCUAGUGGCUAAGGCUAUGGAUCGCCAAUCCGAAGAAGGCGGGUUCGAUUCCCGU